UUACCAGACUCCUACGGGAGGCAGCAGUGAGGAAUAUUGGUCAAUGGCCGCAGGGCUGAACCAGCCAAGUCGCGUGAGGGAUGACGGUCCUAUGGAUUGUAAACCUCUUUUGUCAGGGAGCAAAGGGCGCCACGUGUGGCGUUUUGCGAGUACCUGAAGAAAAAGCAUCGGCUAACUCCGUGCCAGCAGCCGCGGUAAUACGUAGGGGGCGAGCGUUAUCCGGAAUUACUGGGUGUAAAGGGAGCGUAGACGGCGAGGUAAGCCUGAAGUGGAAGCCCGCGGCCCAACCGCGGAACUGCUUUGGGAACUGUUUUGCUGGAGUAUGGGAGGGGUAAGCGGAAUUCCUGGUGUAGCGGUGAAAUGCGUAGAUAUCAGGAGGAACACCGGUGGCGAAGGCGGCUUACUGGACCAUAACUGACGUUGAGGCUCGAAAGCGUGGGGAGCGAACAGGAUUAGAUACCCUAGUA
rnacentral:rRNA from 1 species